rnacentral:misc_RNA from 1 species
CGUGGAAUGUUUACUUAUUAUUGAUAUAUCUAUAUAUUACGCGCUAAAGCAGUCCUUUUUCCCCCACAUCCCCUCAUUGCACCUACCAAAUAAUACUCAAGAGAUGUGGUAGUCCAGUAAUGCUUGCAUUUUGUGAUUUCUUUUUGCUACCUCAAUGCAUUUGUGGUAUUCUCUGAGUUUUGUAUGAGACAAUAGCCAUUUG